ensembl:snoRNA U3 Small nucleolar RNA U3
AAGGCUGUACUUUCAGGGAUCAUUUCUGUAGUUCGUUACUAGAGAAGUUUCUCUGAUCGUGUAGAGUACCAGGUAUGAAAUAAAACAUUUUUAAACUGA